rnacentral:rRNA from 1 species
GAUGAACGCUGGCGGCGUGCCUAAUACAUGCAAGUCGAGCGAAGCGGGGACGGGUGAGUAACACGUAGAUAACCUCCUAUAAGACUGGGAUAACUUCGGGAAACCGGAGCUAAACCGGAUCCUUAUAGAUGGAUCCGCUCUGCAUUAGCUAGUUGGACAGGUACCGGCUUACCAAGGCAACGAUGAAUAGCCGACCUGAGAGGGUGACCGGCCACAAUGGAACUGAGACACGGUCCAGACUCCUACGGGAGGCAGCAGUAGGGAAUCUUCCGCAAUGGGCGAAAGCCUGACGGAGCAAUGCCGCGUGAGUGAUGAAGGUCUUCGGAUUGUAAAACUCUGUUAUUAGGGAAGCGGUACCUACUCAGAAAGCCACGGCUAACUACGUGCCAGCAGCCGCGGUAAUUC